AAUUUUGGACAAUGGGUGAAACCCUGAUCCAGCCAUCCCGCGUGUAUGAUGAAGGCCUGCGGUCUGUAAAGUACUUUCGGCAGAGAAGAAAAGGUACCUCCUAAUACGAGGUACGGCUGACGGUAUCUGCAGAUUAAGCACCGGCUAACUACGUGCCAGCAGCCGCGGUAAUACGUAGGGUGCAAGCGUUAAUCGGAAUUACUGGGCGGAAAGCGUGUGUAGGCGGUUCGGAAAGAAAGAUGUGAAAACCCAGGGCUCAACCUUGGAACUGCAUUUGUAACUGCCGAGCUAGAGUAUGUCAGAGGGGGGUAGAAUUCCACGUGUAGCAGUGAAAUGCGUAGAUAUGUGGAGGAAUACCGAUGGCGAAGGCAGCCCCCUGGGAUAAUACUGACGCUCAGACACGAAAGCGUGGGGAGCAAACAG
rnacentral:rRNA from 1 species